rnacentral:SRP_RNA from 1 species
GCUGGGCAUUGUGCCAUGUGCCUGUAGCCCCAGCUACUUGGGAGGAUGAAGCAGGAGGAUCACUUGACUCCAGGAUGUCUAGGCUGUAGUGUGCUAUGCUGAUCAAAUGUCCACUCUAAGCUUGGCAUCAAUAUGGUGAUCUCCCAGGAGUGUGGAAUCACCAGGUUGCUUAAGGAGCGGUGAACCGGCCCAGGUCAGAAACAGAGGAGGUCAGAACUCCCACGCUCAUCAGUAGUGAGACUGCAACUGUGAAUUGACAGCACGGGCAACAAAGUAAAAACCUGUCUCC